CACGUGACUAACCUACCCUUGAGUGGGGAAUAACUUCGGGAAACCGAGGCUAAUACCGCAUAACACCUACGGGUCAAAGGAGCAAUUCGCUUAAGGAGGGGUCGCGGCAGAUUAGUUAGUUGGCGGGGUAAGUGGCCCACCAAGACGGUGAUCUGUAUCCGGCCUGAGAGGGCGCACGGACACACUGGAACUGAACACGGUCCAGACUCCUACGGGAGGGCAGCAGUGGGGAAGUUUUGUCGCAAUGGGGGAAACCCGUGACGCAGCAACGCCGCGUGGAGGAUGAAGUCCCUUGGGACG
rnacentral:rRNA from 1 species